rnacentral:rRNA from 1 species
CCUACGGGAGGCAGCAGUGAGGAAUAUUGGUCAAUGGACGGAAGUCCGAACCAGCCAUGCCGCGUGAAGGUUAGGGCCCUAUGGGUUAUUAACUUCUUUUUUUAGAGAGCAAUAAGUUCUACGUGUAGAGCGAUGAGAGUAUCUAAAGAAUAAGCAUCGGCUAACUCCGUGCCAGCAGCCGCGGUAAU